GGUUUAAUUCGAUGCAACGCGAAUAACCUUACCUGGCCUUGACAUCCACGGAACCCUGCAGAGAUGCGGGGUGCCUUCGGGAACCGUGAGACAGGUGCUGCAUGGCUGUCGUCAGCUCGUGUCGUGAGAUGUUGGGUUAAGUCCCGCAACGAGCGCAACCCUUGUCCCUAGUUGCCAGCAUUCAGUUGGGCACUCCAGGGAGACCGCCGGUGACAAACCGGA
rnacentral:rRNA from 1 species